rnacentral:rRNA from 1 species
CCUAGCUAGUACCCCUGAGCACAAAGUGUUUUAGUUCAGCCCCCCGAAACUAGACGAGCUACUUCAAGACAGCCUAUGUAGGGCAAACCCGUCUCUGUCGCAAAAGAGUGGGAAGAUCUUCAAGUAGAGGUGACAAACCUAUCGAGCCUAGUUAUAGCUGGUUGUCUGAGAAGUGAAUAUGAGUUCAGCCUCCCAGCUCCCCCCAUCCAAGACAUCUAUGUCCACCCAGACCAAGAGUGAGCGAGAGAGUUAGUCAAAGAGGGUACAGCCCCUUUGAAAAAGGACACAACCUCCCCGGGAGACAAAAGAUCAUAAUUAACCUAAGGAGACUUGUUUUAGUGGGCCUAAAAGCAGCCAUCUAAGAAGAAAGCGUUAAAGCUCAUACAAAUCUCAACCCCCAAUACCGAACCCAACUCUUAAAUCCCCCAUCAUUAUCAGACCCUCCCACAGACCGUGGGAAAGACCCUGCUAGGAUGAGUAAUAAGAGGGAUAGCCCCUCUCCUUCACACAUGUGUACGUCGGAGCGGACCAACCGCCGACAAUUAACGAUCCCCCACUCGAGGGAACUGUAAUACUGCCUGAAUACCUAGAAAACCUAACACGAUAAACCGUUGACCCAACACAGGUGUGUGCCCCCGGAAAGACUUAAAUAAAGGGAAGGAACUCGGCAAACACAAGCCUCGCCUGUUUACCAAAAACAUCGCCUCUUGCAAAACGAACGAAUAAAGGUCCCGCCUGCCCUGUGACUAUAUGUUUAACGGCCGCGGUAUUUUGACCGUGCGAAGGUAGCGCAAUCACUUGUCUUUUAAAUGGAGACCUGUAUGAAAGGCAUCACGAGGGCUUAGCUGUCUCCCCUCUAAAGUCAAUGAAAUUGAUCUCCCCGUGCAGAAGCGGGGAUAUGCUCGUAAGACGAGAAGACCCUAUGGAGCUUAAGAUACAAGGCGACUCACGUCAAGCACCCCCUUAAAGGAAACGAACGAAAUGAGUUCCGCUGGAAUGUCUUCGGUUGGGGCGACCGCGGGGAAAGACAAAACCCCCACAUGGACCAGGGCAACUAAAGCCCUAAAACCUAGACCCACAGGUCAAAUCAACAGUAAUUCUGACCACCAAAGAGCCGGCAAUGCCGAUCGACGGACCGAGUUACCCUAGGGAUAACAGCGCAAUCCCCUCCCAGAGCCCUUAUCGACGAGGGGGUUUACGACCUCGAUGUUGGAUCAGGACAUCCUAAUGGUGCAGCCGCUAUUAAGG